rnacentral:rRNA from 1 species
GCAAGUCGAACGGUAACAGUUCCUUCGGGAAGCUGACGAGUGGCGCACGGGUGCGUAACGCGUAUGCAACUUGCCUUGUACAGAGGGAUAGCCCAUGGAAACGUGGAUUAAUACCUCAUAGUAUCACUGAAACACCUGUUUUAGUGAUUAAAGUUUCGGCGGUACAAGAUGGGCAUGCGUAUGAUUAGGUAGUUGGUGAGGUAACAGCUCACCAAGCCGACGAUCAUUAGGGGUUCUGAGAGGAUUAUC